GCUGAAUCUGUGGGUGCCUUGAUCUUGGUCUUCCAGCCCCCGCAGCCGUGGGAAGAAACGCCUGCACCGAUAAGCCCCCAGUCUGCGGUACUGCGUCAGAGCAGCCGGACACACCAAGGCCACAGUAAGGGGACUCCACAAACCCAGGCCAGGACGACCUUCCCGUUUACAAGCGCCUCUCGCUUAUUUUGAGAGAAACAAAUUUCCAUACCAAAUAAGGUGGUGGACUUAAGAGCCUCUGCCCACUUCACACAAUUCCUUUUAAGUGUCCAAAUGCAAUUACACUUGGAACUCGCCGGGAUUCAGCCUCCCCCGGCCUCCCCAUGUAAACAAGCGUUCCAGCUGGGCCCCAGCUGGCUGCCCUGGAGAAGAGGGGACGGGUCACCACCCUGCCUGCUGCCUCCAGCCUCUCUCUCAGCCUCAGGCAUGGCCCGUGAGCCUCCAGGAUCCCAGAGUCCCUCCUCAGCCCAUCCCUGAAAAACAGACCCCAGGAGGCCAGCUGGGUCAUGCGGGGAGCAGCGCGAGACUCCCUCUUCCACGGUGAGGUUUGCACGUGGGCAGGACGAGCAGGAGGCGGGCAGCUCCCAGCGCAGGUGCAGAGGCAGCUGUGUUUCUCGUUUCCCUUCAAGAAGCCCACAGAGGCACACCUCUCCCAGUCUGGGCACUACGCUCCUGCUGGGAAAGCUCAGAAUUCCCUUGGGCUUCCUGGACUCUGAGAAAGUUGGCCCAGGGCAGGAGGGGAGCCCUCUCAUCACCCCCUCCUCCUGGCCACCCUGCUGGCUCCUGCACCCCCCACUUUGCACCCCCACCCCUACCAAUGCUCAGUGCCCCAGGCAUGAAUGCGUUCCAGGACUCCCCCCUCCAGGGGCUCAAUGGGGAAGGGGGCCUGACUCAUCCUCCUGCAGAGCAGCACAGGCACCAGGCACCACAGCCCGCCAAUUUCCAGCUUGCUCGCCGAGCGCCGUGAUUUUCCACUUGCGCCAUCUGAUUGCUAUUAGGGCUGGGGAAAAGGGAAUUCCUGGUUCCAUAAGCCCCCAGGGGGCCCACGCCGAGUCCCGGGUGGGAAGGGGGAGGGGUGCCGCUUGGGCGGUGCUGCCCACCUCUGCCAAUUCUGCGCUGCCCCUCCAUGGAGCCCUCGCCCUGCUGCCCCCCCCACCGCUCUGUAUCAGCCCUGAGUAAAUUAAAACAAUGGGGUGGGGCCUAGCCCCUCCUGGGCCAGCCUGCCCCGAAAUGCCCACUGGGGGCGGACCAAAGGCGCCAGGCAAGUGUACAGCUGGUGCUCCCUCUCCUGGGCAGCCUUACCGAGCAGCAGAAUGCGAGGGAGAUGAACAGCUGGACUCGGGCAGCAGUGCUCGGGCCAACGUGACGUCACCAGGCGGAGAGAUGAGUUCCCGGUGGGGCUCUGGGGGGGCUCCUGAGCGGGGCAUUCCUUCCUGAAGCCUCAUCCCUGCUCAGCCCCUCCUCCUACUCCCCUCCCCUCCCCCUCCUGCCGGGCCAGGAAUUGGGUUUGGGGCGGGUUCUGCUUCCAAAGCCAUCUCUUCCAGCAGGCGAGGGCUCUACUCUGAGCUCGCAUUUUCCGAGGCUCCGGCCGUGCUCGGCGCUGGCCUGCUGCCCCGGCGGGUCGGUCGGCCGGAGGCGGGAGCCACAGGAAGAGCCCUCCACAAAAGGAGGCCUCUGCGGACCAGGACAGCUGCAGGUGAGUGUGCAGACCGGUGAGCUGCCAGCAGGGACCCAGACGCGUCAGGCCUGGAGAUGGCUGGAAACUGCUCCUGGGAGGCCCAUCCCGGCAACAGGGACAAGGCAAGUGCCACAGAGGUGGGGCAGUCAGCUACUUACUACAUCCAGGCGGGCCAGGAAGCCCUGGGACGCUGACUCCAAGGUAGCCCUGAUGUCAUGUGUUCCGUGGAGCCCUGUGGGUCCGAGGGCCACCCUGAGAGUGUUGCCCCAGGCCAGGGUCCAUUAGUCAUGAGUCACCCACCCUGAGACUCUGACAAUCCCUCCAGGCUGACCCUCCUCCUACCCUCAGCCAGCCUAGUCCCCUACUUCUCUGAGUCCCUUGAAAAGUCUGGGAUUUCCUUCGCUCUCAACUUGGAAGGAUCUCUUGAAUCCCUGUCCAUCCUCUUCUGCAUUUGAGGAAACUGAGGCUUAUACCCAGGUAGUAACUUGACUGGGAUUAGCCCCUAGGUCAGGAGCAGAGUGGGGACUCCAGCCCAGCCCCCGGGAUCUCGGCCCCACACCCUUGGGCCCUCUCCCUCCUCCCCGUAGUGACCGCUGUGGAGUGGCGGCCGCAGGAGGCAGAGGUUGGACUGGUGGGUGGGGUGGGGCCGUCUGCAGAAACUCCCAGCGCAAAGGCAGAGCUCGGGGUGGGGCCCGGCUCCAGAGCAGGCAUUUUACAAGGCGGUAUGUGGCUGGUCACGGCAGCUACACGCCCAGUGACUCACCCGGCCUCCCCCUCUGACUCCGAGGAGGGGAUUGCAGACUUUUUCCAGCAUGCAUGCAUGCAAGAGGCACUGAGUAAGCUGACCGCCUCCAUCCAGCCCCCUGAAGCCCAGCUCUUUCCCAGCGCCUCAGCUGGUCCUCUUGGGCCUGUUUGGGCACCAGAUCCUAUGGUCUAGUUCCCCAACCCAGAAGCGUGUCCAGGUCACCCACAGGAAAGAGAAGCUAAGGAGUGGGAUUUGGGGCGAACAGACCGGCAGAGAGGUUGAGUCGAUAAAUGCAUUUAAAGAAUGGCAGGGAGGGAGCAGGGCCCCCUUACGGUGCUUGCCCUGACCUCGAAGAGUCUCCCCAGAGGUUUGCUAACGCCUCCAGUCCUGUUUUCAGGCUCCCCUUGACCUGAGCAGGCUGGGAGGUUCCUCCCUUUACAACAGGGUGUCCAACCCCGAGAACAGUCUCUCAGGACCCAGCUUUCUGCCGGAGCUGGGAGUCACCUGAAGGCGGCAGAAUGGAUCCUGCCUUCAUAACCUUGUCUUUUGUUUUGUUAGGGAGCCCCGAGCAGUGGGAACAGAAGCCAGGCUUGUGGGGGAGACGCUGGAUAUGGGAAGGGGAGUGACCGUUCUCCAGGCAGGCAGCCUUUGCCUCUGGGAGGAGAGGUCGGAGGGGACCGCCUGAGAACAGCAGCCGGCCUGUAGAGAGAUGGGCUGUUUGGCCCGCACAGCGUGUUUAAAUGUUAACAUUUAAAGAUCGGGUAUUUCACAUUCCAGUCUAGAGUUCAGGCUUCUCUUCAGGGAGCGGGGGAGGACCAUCAGCCACUCCAGCCCACCCAACCCCUGGCCCCCACUGGCUGGAGCACAGCAGGCCGCCCCCUUCACUCUCGAGAGGGGCUCUCGGGUUUGCCACUGUGCCCCCCUUAUCUAUUCCUUGCACCUGGCCCACCUGCAUGCAUUUAUACAGAAGCCUAGACGCUGAGGGCAGGACGGAUACUCCGCUGGGAUGCACUCUUACAGUCACACCAACGGUUCAAGUAUCGAAAUGCUUCCCUGCAGCUUGAUAAACAGCUGCUGCCUCUCCCCCACCCCAGGGACCCCCCGGACUUUCCCACAAUCUGGAAACCCCAAGGGCAACCCUGGCUCAUCAGGGAGCCACCUCUCAUCCCACUAGAGGACAGGGUCCGGCUUCGGGGAAGGCCGAGGUCCACUUGUUUUUUUUUUUUUUUUUUUUCUUUAAAUGUAACUUACAAGUGAUUUUAUUUCUUCAAAUAGUUUCGUGUUUUUUGAAACCUUGCAAGAUUUUGCAAGAAUAGUACAAUACCCACCAAUACUUCACCUCAGCUCAGCCAUCAUUAAACCUUCACCGCAAGUGCUUUCUCUGUAUCUCCUGACAGAUAGACUUUUUCCCAGAAUGAUUUGAAAGUAAAUUGCAAGACUGGGCCCAGUGGCUCACGCCUGCAAUCCCAGCACUUUGGGAGGCCAAGGCAGGCAGAUUACCUGAGGUCAAGAG